GGCGUAAAGAGUGGUUAGGGAAAACACACCAAACUAAAGCCAAACACCUUCAGAACUGUUAUACGUACCCGAAGGCAUGAAGAACUACCACGAAAGUGGCUUUACCAACCCUGAACCCACGAAAGCUAUGUCACAAACUGGGAUUAGAUACCCCACUAUGCUUAGCCAUAAACAUUGAUAGCGUUACACCCCACUAUCCGCCCGGGAACUACGAGCAAUAGCUUAAAACCCAAAGGACUUGGCGGUGCUUUAGAUCCACUUAGAGGAGCCUGUUCUAGAACCGAUAAUCCCCGUUCAACCUCACCUUUCCUAGUUUAACCCGCCUAUAUACCGCCGUCGCCAGCUUACCCUGUGAAGGUCCUAUAGUAAGCAAAAAUGAUCUAAAUCCAAGACGUCAGGUCGAGGUGUAGCGCAUGGAAAGGAAAGAAAUGGGCUACAUUCCCUAACCCAGGGUAUACGAAUAAUACACUGAAACGCGUAUUUGAAGGAGGAUUUAAUAGUAAGUAGAAAAUAGAGUGUCCUACUGAAA
rnacentral:rRNA from 1 species